rnacentral:rRNA from 1 species
GGUUGAUCCUGCCAGUAGUUAUAUGCUUGUUUCAAAGAUUAAGCCAUGCAAGUCAAAGUUUAAGCAACACUAAACGGUGAAACUGCGAAUGGCUCAUUAUAUCGAGCCCAACAUACACUAUGCUUGUACGAUUGUACCGCUGGAUAACCGUGGUAAUUCUAGGGCUAAUACACGAGGCGGGCAACUUGUUGCCCGUGGCGCUUAUUAGAUACACAACUAACCUUUGGCUAGUGACAGAUGAUAAUCGGCAAGGCGGCGCUCACGCGCUGCGACUUAGUUGUGAGGCUCGCC